CCUACGGGAGGCUGCAGUGGGGAAUAUUGGACAAUGGGCGAAAGCCUGAUCCAGCCAUGCCGCGUGUGUGAAGAAGGCCUUCGGGUUGUAAAGCACUUUCAGUGGGGAAGAAAGCCUUGGGGCUAAUACCCUCGAGGAAGGACAUCACCCACAGAAGAAGCACCGGCUAACUCCGUGCCAGCAGCCGCGGUAAUACGGAGGGUGCGAGCGUUAAUCGGAAUUACUGGGCGUAAAGCGCGCGUAGGCGGUCUGAUAAGCCGGUUGUGAAAGCCCCGGGCUCAACCUGGGAACGGCAUCCGGAACUGUCAGGAUAGAGUGCAGGAGAGGAAGGUAGAAUUCCCGGUGUAGCGGUGAAAUGCGUAGAGAUCGGGAGGAAUACCAGUGGCGAAGGCGGCCUUCUGGACUGACACUGACGCUGAGGUGCGAAAGCGUGGGUAGCAAACAGGAUUAGAUACCCGUGUAGUC
rnacentral:rRNA from 1 species